UUGAGAUGGAGCCUAGCUCUGUCGCCCAGGCUGGAGUGCAAUGGCACGAUCUCGGCUAACUGCAACUUCUGCCUCCCGGGUUCAAGUGAUUCUCCUGCCUCAGCCUCCCAAGUAGCUGGGAUUACAAGCGCCCACCACCACGCCCAGCUAAUUUCUAUAUUUUUAGUAGAGAUGGGGUUUCACUGUGUUGGUCAGGCUGGUCUAGAACUCCUGACCUCAUGAUCCGCCCACCUUGGCCUCCCAAAGUGCUGGGAUUACGAGCGUGAGCCACCACGCCCAGCUAUACUCCCAUUUUUCUAAGAGAUAGUUUAUUUUCUCACUCUCUUCUCUUUCUUCCAUUUCCCCAUUUCUCUAGUUAACUCUUUAGAAAUGGAAGUAUAGUCUUUACAACCACUUCAUCAGAUACUCCCUACAGGGCACGUUCAUUUAACUAUGUGCUCAGAAGCUCAAGAGCAGAACUCUCCACCAGGAGGCUGCCUCGAAAAACAGUCCAUCUACAAUCCAAAGUGUGCCUGCUGCAAAACUCUCUCUCACCUGGAGAAUUUUCAAAAGCUUUUACUACCUAGAUCUUCCCAUGAAGGGGCCAGCAGCCACCUGCUAAACUGCCCAGGGGUCAAUAAGCCGCUGAAACUAAUACACACCUGCUCCUUCUCCUCUGGAUGCCAUUCAUGCUAGCAUGCCAGGCCCCCUUUAAAACCACUUGCUUUCUGCUCCAAAAGCAAAGCAGUACUCUUAAAGGCAAGAGCCUAUACUUCUUCCCCUAAGCAAGUUUUGGAAUAAAAAGUCACUUUCUUUAUACCAGAAGUUGCUUUUGUUAAUUGGACUCUGCACGUGGCAAGUGGCUGAACCUGUGUUUUGGUUACCAUGGCAUUUUAAAUUGCCUGCCUGAUAGUACCAGAAUCUGUGUCAUAUCUGAGUCUGAACCUGAUGACUAUUUUGUCUCUUCAGACCCUGCUUUUUCUUGUUUUUGGUAUAUCUUACAAUUUCUGUUGUUAUUGUUGUUGAAAACCAGAUAUAUUGCCUAAGGUAAUAGGUACCAAGAGAAGUCCUUAGUGUGAAAAAUUAUAUUAAUCUUGCUCGGAGUUAAAAUGCGAUUUAAUCUUUCUUAUAGCUAUAGAUACCAGAGAUUUCAAAUUCUUUCAGUGUCCUUGUUUUUGGCUUUAAGACUUCCUUUUGUAUUUUUUCCUUAGAGAAAAUCUGUGUCUUGUAGCUUUUUUGGCUGAAAUCCACUUUUAUUACAUUGGAGACUUAUUGGUGUAGUGUAUGGUGUGGAACAGAGGGAGCACUCUAAAAUCAUCUGUGUCUUGGUCUUUUAGUGGGCUUGUGUCUUGGGAGAUGACCUUCGCAAGUGUUUCAAUUUCUCCUCCAGGGGGAUAGUUUUUUUUCCCAUUGCUCCCCAUUUUCCCUGGCUGUGGCAUUCUCAAUCGACUUCCUUGCCGCCUUCUCCCCUGCUGACUAUGGAUUUUUUUGUCCCUUAGGUGAGAUGGGAAAGUGGGCUGGAGUUGAGCAGAGUUCAGAGUUCUCCUAGCUAGGGGCAUACUCUGGAGUACCCAAAUCCAACAGUCCUGACAGAGGAAAGCAGCUUCCUGUAUAGUUGACCUGGAAGGUCAACUUCUUGUCAGAGUUUUACAUGAAUUAUUUUUAUGGUGGAAAUAGAUGUAAAUGUUCCACCAAAAAUGAUUUUUAUCAGGAACCGUCACAGCCACCUCAACCUUCAGCAACCACCACUGUUCAAGGCAACAUCCUUCAGCAGCAGAAAGAUUGACUCGCUGUAGGCUCAGACAUGGGGCCUCACUAUGUUUCACAGGCUGGUCUAAAACUCCUGAGCUCCAGGGAUCUGCCUGCCUCCGCUUCCCAAAGUGGUGGGAUUGUAGGCAUGAGCCAUCAUGCCUGGCCUGCUGUGAGUUUUAAAUAAAAAUGUAAAUGCUCUUCUCCAUUUUCUUACCUCUCCUUUUAAAGUGUGUGUGUGUGUUUUUUUUAAUGUCAUAUAAGUAAUGCGUAUUCGUGGUAGAAAUAUUUUUUUAAAAAAUAGAAGCAAAAAAGUCACAAUCAUCCUAAUUAUCACUAUUUGUAGAUAAUCACUACAUUUUGACACAUAUAAUUCUAGAGUUUUACCUAUAUAAAUGAUACACUUAUUACUAUCUGUAGGCACUAUGUUAAGCAUUUUAUAUUAUCUUUGUUUUUCUUUCU